GAUGAACGCUGGCGGCGUGCCUAAUACAUGCAAGUCGAGCGAACAGACGAGGAGCUUGCUCCUCUGACGUUAGCGGCGGACGGGUGAGUAACACGUGGAUAACCUACCUAUAAGACUGGGAUAACUUCGGGAAACCGGAGCUAAUACCGGAUAAUGUAUUGAACCGCAUGGUUCAGUAGUGAAAGACGGUUUUGCUGUCACUUAUAGAUGGAUCCGCGCCGCAUUAGCUAGUUGGUAAGGUAACGGCUUACCAAGGCAACGAUGCGUAGCCGACCUGAGAGGGUGAUCGGCCACACUGGAACUGAGACACGGUCCAGACUCCUACGGGAGGCAGCAGUAGGGAAUCUUCCGCAAUGGGCGAAAGCCUGACGGAGCAACGCCGCGUGAUUGAUGAAGGUCUUCGGAUCGUAAAACUCUGUUAUUAGGGAAGAACAAAUGUGUAAGUAACUAUGCACGUCUUGACGGUACCUAAUCAGAAAGCCACGGCUAACUACGUG
rnacentral:rRNA from 1 species